rfam:Fervidobacterium nodosum Rt17-B1, complete genome.
UCCGGCGUAGCUCAACCGGCAGAGCGGGUGGCUGUUAACCACUAGGUUGGGGGUUCGAGUCCCUCCGCCGGAG